rnacentral:lncRNA from 1 species
AACAUUCGUUCGAUGUUCUUGUCGUGAACAAAUUCCAUCAAAUCCAUCCACAUGUUGAUGCAGGAUAAUUUGUUUGACCAGUUGGGUUUUUCCUAUGUGCUAUUGAGAUGUAUUAAGAGAAGUUUAGAUAUUUGGUGAGGGAAAAGAAAAGCAGAGUAGGAUACCGUCAGCUUCUUUGAAGCAAACAUACUAUAUCAAGACAUGCAGCAGAGGCCUGAAAAGCCCACUAACUAAAAUUGGCUUACACAAGAUAAAAAUCUAGGUGUGGGGAGAGACCUGGCACCAAUCUAUGUUCUUUCCUGGAGUGAAGCAGAAUGAACGGAUCAUCUGCCCUUCGCUUGCUCCUGCAGCUCCUAGAUUUGAAAUACUGUCCUAUAAUCCAAAACAUGCAAUUCACCAAGCGGGAUUCUCAAUCAACGCACUCUCUCUUGGAAGGAACAUCUAAGAUCGGUAAGGUAAUACUUAAAUUGUCCGCUUAGGCUUUCUAGCGUACACGAGGGAAGAUUAAAACGCUUAGAUCUUUAGGGAAUAGAAAAUAAACUGAAAGAUUGGAAAUAAUAAGGAGCACAAAUACAGGAGAAAGAUUAGGGGAUUAUCCUAGAUGGUUAGGUUGGUUUUGGAAUCUGGAGAGAUGACUACAAAAGAACAUAGAUAACACAGUACAAGAGGGUCCUAUGAAAGCAUAGCACACAGUUUGUUCUCCUUCAGUUCUCCUUCAUUCUCCAAAGGUGUCAUACUCUCCCCAUAUUGUCCGGUUAAGAUUUGGCUAUGGACAAGGUCUUCCAAGCAGUGCAAGAUAAAAUAGAUAUCCAUAAAAUACCAAAAAUAAUAUGAGGUACAUUCUUCGUGUCCAGAUAUCCAAUUUUAGUGUUAAUUAUGCAUAAAAACUAUGUCAGCAACUUUCUAUAGUUGAAAGAGAUGCAGAUAGAUCAACCUUUACAAGUUCGACCAGCCUCUAGUUUUCCAAUGGCAAUCCCUUGGCCGACUGCUGCUUUGUACAAACCAUUUGGGAGGCAGUCCACGAACAGACUAGGAAACUCAAAGAAGAGAAGGAUACUCUGGUCGGCAAUCAUAUAUCUUCCAUACUUUCCAN